GACGAACGCUGGCGGCGUGCUUAACACAUGCAAGUCGAACGGAAAGGCCCUGCUUUUGUGGGGUGCUCGAGUGGCGAACGGGUGAGUAACACGUGAGUAACCUGCCCUUGACUUUGGGAUAACUUCAGGAAACUGGGGCUAAUACCGGAUAGGAGCUCCUGCUGCAUGGUGGGGGGUGGAAAGUUUCGGCGGUUGGGGAUGGACUCGCGGCUUAUCAGCUUGUUGGUGGGGUAGUGGCUUACCAAGGCUUUCACGGGUAGCCGGCCUGGGAGGGUGAACGGCCACAUUGGGACUGAGAUAGGGCCCAGACUCCUACGGGGGGCAGCAGUGGGGAAUAUUGCACAAUGGGCGGAAGCCUGAUGCAGCAACGCCGCGUGCGGAAUGACGGCCUUCGGGUUGUAAACCGCUUUCGCCUGUGACGAAGAGUGAGUGACGGUAAUGGGUAAAGAAGCACCGGCUAACUACGUG
rnacentral:rRNA from 1 species